AGCGAUUUGGCGCAGCGGAAGCGCGCCGGGCUCAUAACCCGGAGGUCACUCGAUCGAAACGAGUAAUCGCUA
rfam:Chaetomium globosum CBS 148.51 scaffold_3 genomic scaffold, whole genome shotgun sequence.